AGCAAACCGGAUUAGAUACCCGGGUAGUCCUAGCUGUAAACACUGCCCACUUGGUGUUGCCCCUCCGAUGAGGGGAGGCAGUGCCGGAGCGAAGGUGUUAAGUGGGCCGCUUGGGGAGUAUGGUCGCAAGGCUGAAACUUAAAGGAAUUGGCGGGGGAGCACCGCAACGGGAGGAGCGUGCGGUUUAAUUGGAUUCAACGCCGGAAAACUCACCGGGAGCGACCUUUGGAUGAGAGUCAGCCUGAUGAGCUUACUCGAUAGAAGGAGAGGUGGUGCAUGGCCGUCGUCAGCUCGUACCGUAGGGCGUUCACUUAAGUGUGAUAACGAGCGAGACCCCCAUCUCUAAUUGCUAACGUGCAUUCGCGUGCACGCGCACUUUAGAGGGACCGCCAGUGCUAAACUGGAGGAAGGAGGGGUCGACGGCAGGUCAGUACGCCCCGAAUCUCCCGGGCAACACGCGCGCUACAAAGGGCAGGACAAUGAGUUGCCACCUCGAAAGGGGGAGCUAAUCUCGAAACCUGUUCGUAGUUAGGAUUGAGGGCUGUAACUCGCCCUCAUGAAUGUGGAUUCCGUAGUAAUCGCGGGUCAACAGCCCGCGGUGAAUAUGCCCCUGCUCCUUGCACACACCGCCCGUCAAACCAUCCGAGCUGGUGCUGGAUGAGGGUAUGCUCUUAUGGGCAAACUCAAAUCUGAUGUCGGUGAGGAGGGUUAAGUCGUAACAAGGUAUCCGUAGGGGAACCUGCGGAUGGAUCACCUCCUAU
rnacentral:rRNA from 1 species